UGGGGAAUAUUGCACAAUGGGCGGAAGCCUGAUGCAGCGACGCCGCGUGAGGGAUGACGGCCUUCGGGUUGUAAACCUCUUUCAGUAGGGACGAAGCGUAAGUGACGGUACCUGCAGAAGAAGCACCGGCUAACUACGUGCCAGCAGCCGCGGUAAUACGUAGGGUGCGAGCGUUAUCCGGAUUCAUUGGGCGUAAAGCGCGCGCAGGCGGUUGCUCAAGCGGAACCUCUAAUCUCGGGGCUUAACCUCGAGCCGGGUUCCGAACUGGACGACUCGAGUGCGGUAGAGGCAGAUGGAAUUCCCGGUGUAGCGGUGGAAUGCGCAGAUAUCGGGAAGAACACCAACGGCGAAGGCAGUCUGCUGGGCCGUCACUGACGCUGAGGCGCGAAAGCUGGGGGAGCGAACAGG
rnacentral:rRNA from 1 species